GAAAAGUUGGCACAGAACCGGCACCGUUUUAUGUACAGUAAAUAUUUUUCCCUCCCUUCUAUUUCGCCCAAUUCCCUUGGCGCCUCAAAAAGAGAAAAGCCCUAGUUUGGUAACAUCGACACUUCUGAAUCUCCUCUUCUUCGUUGCCGCUGGGGCGAAAUUAAGGCUCGAUCUUCGUUUACAGCAGUGAGAUUAAGGUCAUGGCCCUAACGAUUUGUCGAACUUACAUCCACAUAGUGGCGGGAUUACGAAAGGAGGGCCCUUGAGAGCGGGGGGUUUGAUGUUGGGGAUAUUCCCGGAUAUGCUUUUGUCCCUGUUAGACCAUUUGUGCUGGACUGCCGUGAGUCAAUGGAGAGGAUUGAAGGAUAUGCAAAGUUUGCCCUUGAUGAUUACAACAAAUGUAAUAAUACGAAAUACCAAAUUGUGAAGGCCUUCAAGGCAAACAUCGGUAGUGGUUUUCCUGGUUGGACCUACUAUAUUACCUUUCAGGUCAAGGAUAUGGCUGGUUCUGGUUCUCCCACUCUCAACUUCCAGGCCAUUGUGGAAACUUUUCAGGGUCAGGAAACCGUCAAGUUUAUCGCACUUGAACUGUAAUCCUAUCUACUCCAAGGGCUUGAAUUGAGGCCGUGAAGCUUACUCACAAGCCGAAACGGAUAUAAAUUCUAGCAACCAGUGUGAGUAUAUCAAUGCCUUAAUUACCUUAUUCUUGCCUUAUUCUUAUAAACUGUCAUCUUCUGCUAGUUUUAAAAGUGUGAUAAAGCUUGAUUUAAUGUUGUUCAUGUGUGGGACACGUGUCUGAAGUGUGUCCGGAGCGUGUCCAUGUCUUACAUAUUUUCAACACCGAUUUUGGCAAAGUUUUGUUGCUAUGUAGAUUGCAUAUCAUCGAUAUUACGUAGAAUGACAUCAAAAUUUGGGUUGAAUAGCUCGCUUAGUCACUCAUGAGUCAUGCCAUAAUUCGUUAAAUAACAAGUUGGAGCAAAAGCUCUUUCUUUUUCAGAACCUUUCAUAGGCUUUAUAUGUUACAUAAUUGCUUUUUUUUUUUUUGGUUGCAAUUUUGUACAGGUAAAGAGAUGGAGAAGUUGCUUUCUGAUAGUUUGCCAAGACGGAGUUGAAGACUUUUUGGUAGUUAAAUGGAAUAGCUGUUUUUGAGUUGUUUUUGUCAUUGGACGCACCAUGGACAUGGACGUUUUGUAGUUUCGGUAAUGCUGUUAAAUUUAAAGUGGUUAUUGUUGUAGGAUGAAUGUUUUGAAGAGUUGUGAAGUUGAAUGAUGAAUGUUGACUUAUUGGAUAUUUGAUUUGAAUGAGAUUUUGCCUUUUUGCAA